UGAGGGAGAGAGAGAAUAAUGACUGAAGAAACUGAUAGAAAAUACUGAGAGAGAGAGAGAAAAAGUAAGACUUUUGUCGACAGUAAACUGAACACAAGUAAUUCUCUUUCUAAUUGCGCAAUGUUCACUUUCGACAAAUAAUCGAAAGUAAUUUUAUUCUCUCUUUCUUUUAUUUUGUAUUCUUUUUCAUUUUCGUCUACUCUCUCUCUCUCUCUCACUGUCUCCAUUUCUUUAAUAAUCUUCUCCAAGCUCAUCAUUUCUUGUGCUCGUUCUUUUCAUCAUUUAAUUUCUCCUUCGCUGCCUUUACCUUCAAUUCCUAAAUCACAUUCUGUUGAUUUCUUGGUGAUUUUGUGCUUUUUCCUUCAAUCGCCUUUAACCUUUCACCUCAUUUCCAAUUCGAUCCAAGGAUCCGAUUAACUUCACCUUCAUCUUCAAAAUGGAUUACAAAAACUCUGAGCUCUCCUUGAUUCUGGUCAUGUCCGCCUUCAUGGUCGUCAUGAUAAUCGGGGCCUUUUUCUUGGCCGUAGGUCUCAGGAUGUGUUAUCCGAAACAAAACAAACCAUUAGGACCAGGAAGUGCUUAGAACAAUCAAUUCAUUUGUAAUGUAGUAACAACGAUCCAAUAUCGAUAAAACUUCACGGGUUUAACAAGUUCAUCAAGUGGAAUUUUAUUCUUAAUCUCUAAUCCAUCUAAUCCAUCUAAUAUCUUCUUUCUUUCCUUUGAUAUCCUAACGGAAGUGUUGAAGUGUCGAGAUAUUGAGAAUCAAUCAAAGGCACCAAGGAUGAAACAACUUCUAUUAGCAUUUAUUUCAUGAUCAUGAUCUAUGAUCACAAUUAUCAUGUUGACGGAUUAACUUUUUCGCUCAAAUUUUCCUCUUUUCGAGUGAUGUUUAUGCUUUUUUCAAAUUCAAAUUCUCAAUUUGGAUCAUUUUCUCUCUUUCUAUCCCCCUCUCUCUCACUCACUCUAUCGAUAUUAUCUAGUUGAUUAUGUUAACCUCGAUUCACUUCAAGCUUUGAUUACAAUUAAUUGUCAGACCAACAAAAAGCCGAAGGAUAAACAUCAUCAUCUUUACAAUUGAUUACCAGAUAACAAACAUUACCAAAUAUGAGAAACAUUUGAUAAUUUAAUUAGUUUUUUGUUCACAAUCAACUAGAAUCAAAUUGAUAACAAACGCAACCACAAACGCUAUUGAACUUCCUAUUGUAAAUCAACUUAACAAUAUCUUCACAUGGAAAUACAAUAAAAUACAAAUCUAUUACUAA